rnacentral:rRNA from 1 species
UGGGGGAUAUUGCACAAUGGGCGAAAGCCUGAUGCAGCGACGCCGCGUGGGGGAUGAAGGCCUUCGGGUUGUAAACUUCUUUUGCUCUGAACAAGGCGCACCAUGGGGUGUGUUGAGUGUAGGGGUUGAUUAGCGCCGGCUGACUACGUGCCAGCAGCCGCGGUAAUACGUAGGGCGCGAGCGUUGUCCUGAAUUAUUGGGCGUAAAGGGCUUGUAGGUGGCUGGUUGCGUCUGUCGUGAAAGCUCAUGGCUUAACUGUGGGUUUGCGGUGGGUACGGGCUGGCUUGAGUGCAGUAGGGGAGGCUGGAAUUCCUGGUGUAGCGGUGGAAUGCGCAGAUAUCAGGAGGAAUACCGGUGGCGAAGGCGGGUCUCUGGGCUGUUACUGACACUGAGGAGCGAAAGCAUGGGGAGCGAACAGG